rnacentral:rRNA from 1 species
UACGUAGGGGGCAAGCGUUGUCCGGAAUCAUUGGGCGUAAAGAGCGCGUAGGCGGCCCUGUAAGUCCGCUGUGAAAGUCAAGGGCUCAACCCUUGAUGCCGGUGGAUACUGCAGGGCUAGAGUCCGGAAGAGGCGAGUGGAAUUCCUGGUGUAGAGGUGAAAUUCGUAGAUAUCAAGCGGAACACCGGUGGCGAAGGCGGCCUUCUGGACAGUGACUGACGCUGAGAUGCGAAAGCGUGGGGAGCAAACAGG